UUGUAGCGUACGAAAAUUAACUUGCAAUCAGCUAGUCUAGAAGAAUUAGAGCGAGAGGCGGGGUCCUUAAGGGGACGGAUUGAUGAGGUUGUGGAGUCUAUUAGCAAGGAGAAGGAGAGGUCCGAUCUCAUCAUGAAGGACAUCUGGGGUACCAUUAAGCUGAUGGCAUGUUCAGCUGUUGUGGUGAAAAUCAUUGCAUUUACCAUUUCUCCAGUUGAGGAACCCAAGGAGAUUGCAUGAUCAUCAGUUCCCUCCCAGUCAUAUGAACGUUUUGUUUAAGUCAUCGUGUUAUGUACUGCAAUUUGUGAUUGCUAUACCGGCAUAACUUAAGAUGUGGUAACUGUUGUGGCCGA